GAACUCGGGGCAAGAAGCCACAGAGCUGUUACCAAUGCUUGUCUCCAAGGGACAUGGAGUGGGAGAGAGGACGAGAGCGUGUAACCAGAGAGAGUUAUGGAGAGCCUGGAGAGGAGCAAUGACCAAGGUCAAGGACAAGGCCUGCCCAAGAGACCUUGCAGAGUGGAGGCCAGGAGAAUAAAGACUCUCCUCCCUCCCUCCGAUCUCUGGCUCGGGCUCCUAUUGACUGAGCUAAAAACGACAAAAGUAAUGGGCCCUGUGGAUGGCGUUCACACGGGCGGCAGAGGGCAUGUGGAAAAAGGCGGAGAAGAGUGGAGGGGGGUCUGGAGCAGCAGUGAAUUAACCUCCUGUGGCAGCCAUAACACAUUGCCACAAACUUGGUGGCUUGAGACACAGACAUUUUUUCUCUCACCGUUCUGGAGGCUGGAAGCCUAAAAUCGAGUCUAAAAUCAACGGGUCCCCUCUGGAGGUUCUGAGGGAGAAUCCGUCCACGCCUCUCUCCUGGCUCCUGGGGGCUGCCAGCCAUCCUUGGCCUUUCUUGGCUUGCAGACACAUCACUCAAAUCCCUGCUUCUCUUCCCAUGGCCUUCUCCUCUGUUUUUCUCCUUCCUUCUCUUCUAAGAACACUUGCCAUUGGGUUUAGGGUGCGCCCAGCUAAUCCAGCAUGAUCUUAUAUUGAAAUCCUUAAUGUACUCACAACUGCAAUGGCCUUUUUCCAAAUAAGGUCACAUUCACAGCUUCUGAGUGGACAUGUCUUUCGGGAGGAGGGCACCGUUCAACCAAUACAGGCGGGCAGAUGAGAUCUGGCACAACUGUGGAAAGAUAUUCAGGCAAACACAUAGUGUAGUGCCAACGGAGCAGGAAAAAACAGUGAGUGCGUUCAUACCCAUUUUUUGUAAGAAACCCACAGGGGUGUGUAUCUAGGCAUAAAAAAAGCAAUUGCAGGAGCAGAACCAGAAGUGUUCAGAAUGGAUCCUGCUCUGUGGUAAGAUUACAGGCGAUUUUCCUUUGUCUUUAUUUAUUUAUAGUUUCUACGUUUUAAAAAAGAUGCUGCAUUACUUUUGUAAUAUGAAAAACACAAACAGCCAAAAUAAAAAGAGAGAAAGAAAAAAAGGCUGAAUGACUGACACCUGGUGUUCUGAUCGGCAUGGAAGAAUGAAAGGAGUUUGCCCACUUAUAUAAAUAUAACAAAGGCCCCAGGUGUGGUCAAGUUGUAGGUGGUUUAAUCUCAGCUGUGCUUCUCUCCCUUGAACAGGAAAGGAAAGGGCAUUCGUGCUUCAUUUUAAAGCAAUCGCACUGUCUUCUGUGGGAUCCUCACCCAUUGGCUCCUGUCCCAUCACAACAGACAAAAAAGGCCACGUCCUGGCUUUGAGAGAAUGGACUUAAUUGUGUUUGCUUACACACGCCAGAGCCAGGCUGUGGUUCACCGUGCCUGCAGGUGUCAAAAUGCCCUGACAUACACCGGGUCUUAGAUCACGGCAGGGUAGGAAUUUCUUCCCACGCCAGGUCUGCAUCCUGGAAAGAAGGCUCUGAUGCUGAGGAUACCUCCGGGGUUGAGUGGGGCCCUAAGUGCUCCUGGCAUAGCAUAGCCCCUUCACUCAGUGUCUCUGUAGACCACCUGCUCUUUAGACAACUUCUUCUAACCAAAACCCAGUCUCCUGCUCCUUUUCGCGUCUCUUCAAAAUUUAUCAGAAUAUCUUUAGGCAACCAACCGUUGUAUAGGGGUAAAGUUAAGGAUCUUGAGAUGAGAUUACCCUGGAUUAUCUGGUGGGCCCUAAAUCCAAUAAGUGUCUUUACAAAAAGAAGAAGUCACAGAGGAGAAGACCUGUGAAGCCAGAGGCAGAAAGUGGAGUGAGGCCCACAGCCACUAGAAGCUGGGAGAGGUGAAGAACGAAAUCCCCCCAAGCCUCAGCGGGAACACAGCCGACACCUUGACGUCCGGCCCCAGGAUGGUGAGAGAAUAAAGUGCUGUUGUCGUAAGCCAUCCAAUUUGUGGUAAUUUCUUCCGGCGGCCCUGGGAAAUGAACACACCCUGUCUUUGCACAUUGUCCAUCCUUGAUAUUCCUCUGCUCACCUGGUGGCCCUGGAGCAGCUAAUUGAUACCUGCCCAUCAUUCUAGAGAGCGCUUUUCCAUUAAAAAGUUGUAGGUGUUUUGGGGCGGCCCAGUGGCGCAGCGGUUAACUUUGCACGUUACGCUUUGGCGGCCCAGGGUUCACCAGUUUGGAUCUCAGGUGUGGACCUGCGCUGCUUGUCAAGCCAUCCUGUGGCAGGCAUCCCACAUAUAAAGUAGAGGAAGAUGGGCAUAGAUGUCAGCUCAUGGCCAAUCUUCCUCAGCGAAAAGAGGAGGGUUGCUGGCAAAUGUUAGCUCAGGGCCAAUCCUCCUCAAAAAGAAAAAAGAA
rnacentral:lncRNA from 1 species